CCUACGGGCGGCAGCAGUGGGGAAUAUUGGACAAUGGGGGCAACCCUGAUCCAGCCAUGCCGCGUGUGUGAAGAAGGCCCUCGGGUUGUAAAGCACUUUCAGUGAGGAAGAACGCCUGGUGGUUAAUACCCAUCAGGAAAGACAUCACUCACAGAAGAAGCACCGGCUAACUCCGUGCCAGCAGCCGCGGUAAUACGGAGGGUGCGAGCGUUAAUCGGAAUUACUGGGCGUAAAGCGCGCGUAGGUGGCUUGAUAAGCCGGUUGUGAAAGCCCCGGGCUCAACCUGGGAACGGCAUCCGGAACUGUCAAGCUAGAGUGCAGGAGAGGAAGGUAGAAUUCCCGGUGUAGCGGUGAAAUGCGUAGAGACCGGGAGGAAUACCAGUGGCGAAGGCGGCCUUCUGGACUGACACUGACACUGAGGUGCGAUAGCGUGGGUAGCAAACAGGAUUAGAUACCCUAGUAGUC
rnacentral:rRNA from 1 species